GCGGGUGUGGCGGAACUGGCAGACGCGCUGGAUUUAGGUUCCAGUGCCGCAAGGCGUGCAGGUUCGAUUCCUGUCACCCGUAC
rnacentral:tRNA from 2 species